rnacentral:miRNA from 3 species
UGACUUCAGUGGGCUUAGGAUC